GCCCCUUAAGAGUAAAAUAUAUGAUGACGAUGAUCCUUACGAAGAUUAUGUAGCAUAAUGUGUGUCAUCACAUUACAGAAUUUGCCCUGUAAAAGAUGCGAUUCUUCGUCUCUAAUUAGUGGACCAGCACAUAGUUAAUAAAAGCCAGCAGAUAAUCAAGGCAAUACGGUUUGCGCCAUGGAGGCAGAUUUUUCUUUGGCCCGAAAAAUUUCUGCCGACUUCAAGAAGCUCUAGAAGUGCUUGACAGUGCAGAAGAGGCAGAUAAUGAUGUUGACUUGGUGAUCGUGCCCCCUGAGCCUACUGCAGAAACCGAUGAAGAAGGAGAUGACAACUGCAUUGAAGACCUUGGGAUGAAUGACGUAUGCGGUUUGCUCGAGGUUCACGGGCUUCCUGCAGAUCUUCUACCACAUGCUCAAAGUGCUCCUAAAAAGGCGAGGAAUGGGACCGCCCCCAAAUGGCAACAAAGUGCACCUCAGAACUCUUGGUCUGUGCCCACGAACGGAACUGAAGACCGAAGAAGCAGUUCGUAGAGGAAAUUUGAAGAAAAAUCGUCGAGUGAGAUAUUUUUCACCAUUUUUGAUGAGGAGGUCCUCACCCAAAUAAUAGUUCAGUCAGGGACAUAUGCAAAACAAAAAAAAUGAGCACGGCUUUUCUCUGAGCACGGAUGACCUAAAGAAAUUCCUUGGUAUUCUUCUUCUGAGCGGGUACAACAGAUUGCCAAGUCAGAAGAUCUACUGGUCUCUUGACAAAGAUGUUGGCGUUUUUUGUGUGUUUCGGGGCAUGCCCAGGACGAGGUUCUUAGAUAUUAAGAGAUUCUUGAAUUUUGCUGACAACAACGCUAUCGUUCGAACAACCAACAGCAUGUAUAAAGUCCGACCACUCAUGGAUUUACUAAACAAAAAGUUCCAGCAGCACGGGGUUUUUCACAGAAACCUUUCCAUAGACGAAUCAAUGGCAAAAUAUUUUGGACAUCACCCGUGCAAGCAGUUUAUUCGGGGCAAGCCAAUACGAUUUGGCUAUAAAAACUGGAUGCUCUGCAGUUCAGAUGGCUACUGCUACGCCUUUGACACCUAUUGCGGAAAGUCGUCGAACUCUGAAAACUUGCCCCUUGGCAGCCGAGUCAUGCUUUCUUUUUGCGAGAACAUUUCUAUCCCUUCGGAUCACAUCCUUUACUUCGACAAUUUUUUCACUGGAAUCGAACUGUUAGCGGCUCUUAAAAUGAAGGGUUUCAGAGCAACCGGCACUAUCCAUGAGAACCGCCUCAAGAUUGCUACCUUGCCAGUGAAGAAAGAGAUGGAAAAGCGAGAUAGGGGCUACCUCGCUAGCUGCUUUGACACUCAAAAUGAAGUGCUCCUCAUGAAGUGACGUGACAGCAGCGUCGUGACAAUGGCCACGAAUUAUGACUCAGUUGAGCCCAUUGUGGCAGUAAGCCGGUGGUCUUCAAAAAAAAAAGAGAAAAGUAAAGGUAGCCCAGCCAAGUGUUUUCGGCACUUACAAUAAUAUAAUGGGAGGUGUGGACCUUUCCGAUCAGACCGCCAACAACUACAGGAUCGGCAUUCGCUGUAAGAAGUGGUGGUGGGUAUUGUUCAUACAGAUGCUAAACAUUUCCGUGGUGAAUGUGUGGACGAUUCACCAAAUGUCAUCUGAAAACAGACUGGACCUUCUAACUUUCACUAGACUGGUUACUCGUCACCUCCUGCGCCUCGGUGUUCAGAAGCGGUACCAAAGACGAAGACCUGCAAGUGUCCCAACUGACAUCAUUUUUGACCCCAGAGGGCACUACCCCAGGAAUCUCGGAAGCAGCUCAGAUGCAAAGUUUGCCAUAUGCAUGCCAUGUGGGAAUGCGAAAAAUGCCAAUGCACUUUGUGCCUCGAGCGAGAAUGCUUCAAGAAAUUUCAUGAAGGCAAGUAGGGCCCGUCGGAGAAACCAUGGUCGAAAUGACAUUGCAACCGCCCAUUGUACUAGAUCAGGUACGGCGUCAUAACUUCUCCGGAAAUAAACAGUUUUUUGUGAA